AAGGGGAAUAUAGGAAGGACGGGCGAAGGGGCGGCCACGUUCACACGGCGGAAAAGGAGCAUCCCCACCUACCGCCCCCUCCCACCAAACCCCACCGAUAUAAAUGGAGGCCGCCUUCCUCCCCCGAUUUCUUAGCGGGAUCCUUCGCACGAUCGAUCUCUGCUCGAGCGCGCUCCCCCAUAUCACUUCUCCUUCUAGUAAUAGUUGUUGCUGUCGCUCUGCGCUUUUUUUAUCUUCUUCCUGUUCGGUGUUGUUAGCACUUUAGUUGGGAUCUUCGCCACCGAAGUAUAGGCCGCCGCCUGCCGUCGACGCCGGCGGCUGAGAGGGGAAGCGGACAAAACGGAGGAAAGGGAAAGACGUUUCUCUCUCGCUCUCUGUUUCUCCCCUCUCGAGUCUCGAUCAAGCUGUUAGCUAAGAAUGGCGCUGAUCAGGGCCCCUCCUCCCGUUCCCAUCCCAGCUGAUAUUUGUAGGGCGCAUCUCGUCAUACCAACCCCUGCCGCCGCCGCCGCCAAUAAGAGAAAAAGAAUAUCCUCCGCCGCCUCCUCCUGUCUCUUGGUUAUCGAAUGCAACCUACGGAAGCAGCAGCAGCAGCAGCAGCAGCGACACACCGUCACCACCACCUCUUCACCUCUGCACGCCGCUGAG
rnacentral:lncRNA from 1 species